GGGACCAAAAACAUCCGUAGCCGGCUCUGUAAGUUUUCGGUUAAAUCUGUACGCUCAACGUACAGGCUGCCGGGAAUACUGUAAAGCUAGGGAGUGGGAGAGGUAGACGGUACUCGGUAGGAAGGGGUAAAAUCCUUUGAUCUAUUGAUGACCACCUGUGGCGAAGGCGGUCUACCAGAACACGUCCGACGGUGAGGGAUGAAAGCUGGGGGAGCAAACCGGAUUAGAUACCCGGGUAGUCCCAGCUGUAAACUAUGCAAACUCAGUGAUGCAUUGGCUUGUGGCUAAUGCAGUGCUGCAGGGAAGCCGUUAAGUUUGCCGCCUGGGAAGUACGUACGCAAGUAUGAAACUUAAAGGAAUUGGCGGGGGGAGCAC
rnacentral:rRNA from 1 species